rnacentral:rRNA from 1 species
GACGAACGCUGGCGGCGUGCCUAAUACAUGCAAGUAGGACGCAGUUGCGAACGGGUGAGUAACGCGUAGGUAACUACCUAUUAGAGGGGGAUAACUAUUGGAAACGAUAGCUAAUACCGCAUACUAGUAGAUGGACCUGCGUUGUAUUAGCUAGUAGGUAGGGUAAUGGCCUACCUAGGCAACGAUACAUAGCCGACCGGAGAGGUUGAGCGGCCGCACUGGGACUGAGACAGGGCCCAGAUGCCUACGGGAGGCAGCAGUAGGGAAUCUUCGGCAAUGGGGGGAACCCUGACUGAGCAAGGCGGCGUGAGUGAAGAGGGUUUGCGGAUCGUAAAGCUCGGUUGUUAAGGAAGCGGUACUUAACCAGAAAGGGACGGCUAACGACGUGCCAGCAGCCGCGGUAAUAC